rnacentral:misc_RNA from 1 species
GAUGAAGAACGCAGCGAAAUGCGAUAAGUAAUGUGAAUUGCAGAAUUCAGUGUAUCAUCGAAUCUUUGAACGCACAUUGCGCCCCCUGGUAUUCCGGGGGGCAUGCCUGUUCGAGCGUCAUUUCACCACUCAAGCCUCGCUUGGUAUUGGGCAACGCGGUCCGCCGCGUGCCUCAAAUCGACCGGCUGGGUCUUCUGUCCCCUAAGCGUUGUGGAAACUAUUCGCUAAAGGGUGUUCGGGAGGCUACGCCGUAAAACAACCCCAUUUCUAAGGUUGACCUCGGAUCAGGUAGGGAUACCCGCUGAACUUAAGCAUAUCAAUAAGCGGAGGA